rnacentral:rRNA from 1 species
CUGAUGCAGCAACGCCGCGUGAGGGAUGACGGCCUUCGGGUUGUAAACCUCUUUUAGUAGGGAAGAAGCGAAAGUGACGGUACCUGCAGAAAAAGCACCGGCUAACUACGUGCCAGCAGCCGCGGUAAUACGUAGGGUGCAAGCGUUGUCCGGAAUUAUUGGGCGUAAAGAGCUCGUAGGCGGUUUGUCGCGUCUGCUGUGAAAUCCCGAGGCUCAACCUCGGGCUUGCAGUGGGUACGGGCAGACUAGAGUGCGGUAGGGGAGAUUGGAAUUCCUGGUGUAGCGGUGGAAUGCGCAGAUAUCAGGAGGAACACCGAUGGCGAAGGCAGAUCUCUGGGCCGUAACUGACGCUGAGGAGCGAAAGCAUGGGGAGCGAACAGGAUUAGAUACCCUGGUAGUCCAUGCCGUAAACGUUGGGCGCUAGAUGUAGGGACCUUUCCACGGUUUCUGUGUCGUAGCUAACGCAUUAAGCGCCCCGCCUGGGGAGUACGGCCGCAAGGCUAAAACUCAAAGGAAUUGACGGGGGCCCGCACAAGCGGCGGAGCAUGCGGAUUAAUUCGAUGCAACGCGAAGAACCUUACCAAGGCUUGACAUACACCGGAAACGGCCAGAGAUGGUCGCCCCCCUUGUG